UCGGAUACUGAUGACUUAAAUGACUCUCUCUUUUCUGGUGAUGAAGAAAAUGCUGGAACUGAGGAUAUAAAGAAUGAGAUAAAUGGAAAAUGAAUUUCGGCAUCCUCCAUUAGCGAAGCUAGAAUUAAUGCCAAGGCAAAAAGGCGACUUUGGGAAAACUCAUCCCCAGCCUCUGGCAGAGGCGAUUCAGUCGGUGGUAAUGGAAGUGAAGCCCUUAGAAGUGGAGUAACUACCAAACAGUCCAAAGGGAAGGUUUCUAGAAAGGCAGUCCAGGGCUGGGAAAGGAUGGGCACUACCAGAGAAAGGUGGUGCGGGAGCGCAAGGUGUCUGGGGUGCACCUGGACAGGUGUAUGAUGCGGAGGCGAAUGCGUAAGAUCCUAACUAUGACGAUGACCACGAGAACUGUGUUUACGAAACUAGUUCUGCCUUGGAUGAAACGGCAUUGGAGAAGACUGUAACACCAUUCAUACAGGAGUAUUUUGAGCAGGAAGAUGCUAAUGAAGUUGUGGAAAUGCUAAGAGAUUUAAACCUUGGUGACAUGAAAAGUGAAGUACCAGUGUUGGCGGUGACCUUGGCAUUGGGAGGGAAAGGCUAGUCAUAGAGAAAUGACAUCUAAGCUUCUUUCUGACCAUUGUGGGACAGUAAUGAGCACAAAUGAUGUAGAAAAACCAUGUGAUAAAUUGUUGAAAGUUCUACCUGAAUUAGCAUUAGAUACUCCUAGAGCACCACAGUUGGUGGGCCAGUUUAUUGCUAGAGCUGUUGGAAAUGGAAUUUUAUGUAAGACCUAUAUUGAUAGUUAUUAAUACAAAGGAACUGUAGAUUGUGUACAGGCUAGAGCGGCUCUGGACGAGCCUACUGUGCUCCUGAGUUUGUCUAAAGGUGAAAAGCGCAAAGACAGCUGUGGGGCUCUGGAGGUGGGCAGCAGUCUGCUAUCACCUCCUUGAAGAGACUGACAUGCUGCUGAAAGAGUAUUUACUCCCUGGAGACAUAUCUGAAGCUGAACAUUGCCUUGAGGAACUGGAAGUACCUCAUUUUCACCGAUUAGCUAGUAGUGUGCGAAGACAUUGUAAUGGUUUUGGAGUCACUUGGAUAAAGUACGUUUAAGAUGAUUUUGGAUUUGUUAAUAUCCCCUUGGAAAUCUUUUACCAUUACUCUAGACCACACGAGAAGAGGUUAUGAGAAUUUAUAAUGAAGUUCCGGACAUUAAUCUGGAUGGCCCACAUUCAUACUCUGUGCUUGAACAAUUUGUAAAAUGUUUUCAGGCUGGAAUAGUUUCCAAACAACUCAGAGAUCUUCGUCCUUCAAGGGGCAGAAAACGUUUCUUAAGUGGAGAUGGAGGUUGUCUUAAACCAGAAAGCUACUGAAUAUAAGAACUUUUGCAGUCUUAGAUGUUAUAAAAAAUAGAUAUCUGAAUUGUAAGAGUUGUGGGCACAGAGUUGUUGUUUUUUUGGUUUUUUUUCCAAAGCACUUGUUUUGGGUA